UCCAGUCACUCCUCACCAAAACAAAAGGGAAGUUUCCCCGUACUCAAUUUCAAUUCAUCAUUUUCAAUCAUAUCUAGUAAUCCGUUAGGAAUACUAGUUUUACUAGACGACAACAUAUCUAGUAAUCUAUAAGGAAUACUAGUCUUACUAAGACGGUCUAUAAGCAUGAAUUGAUUGAGUUAUGUUACUUGAUAAGUACUGAUACACUUGUGGAUUAAUGUAUCAGGUACCUUACUUGGAGACUCAUUGGAGAGGAUCAGGCCGCUCCUAGCCUUUCAAGAUGGCAUGAAGUCCGGUGAAAGGGGGAGACACUAAACCGGUUCUAUAAAAGAGUCCAAGAAGGUGUGGUGAAGUGUGCGCAAAACUUGAAGUGUUGCUGCACCUGUUUAGGCCGUGAUCUAGAGCUUCUUGUGUCCAACCACACUGGUUCUAAGGCACAAGAGUUCACUGGCCAAUCCCUAGGCCUUGUUGGCUCUACUCUUUUUCCCUCGUCAAGGUUUUGUCCCAAAGUGUUUUCCUUGGUGAAGUUUUUAAUGAGGGAGUUCUUCAAGGUUCCAAACUUGACUUAGGAUCGCCUAGAGUCAAGCUUGAGGGGGAGUGUUAACUUGAAGAAAGAAAUGGAGCCAAAGGAGGAGUUGAGUUGAGUUUGGGUCUUGUGCAAGAAUAGGGAAAGUCUUCCAGAGAUUGUCUGAUAGGCUUCAGGAGUGUUAUACAAGGGCUUCAGAGGAGUCUAAGAUACUAUGAAGCUGGUGCAAAGAUAGGGUCAAGUCCAGGAGGGACUUAGACACCAUUUGGAGAUAGUUGGGUGAUGGUGCGAAAAUAGGGCGAGGUACGUACAGGUGGUCCGUACCAUCGACCGUACUUAUUCCGGAUCAACCCGAAGUGAAGAAGUGAAAAGAUAGGGCGCCGGUUCAGAAAGAAGAGAGGCGACCUGAGGUGUAGCAGCUUGUGGACGUUUGUGGAUAAGGCCAGGCUGUCAUGAGCUGAAGUGAGCUGUAAAGUUAAAGGAGCAUGGACCAUGUAUCUGGUCUGAUACAUGGGAAGGUUCAUAGGAGCCUAUAAGCAGCCAAUCAGAAGCCAGCCCUUGCCUUGACCAGAUUUGAAUUAACCAAUCAGACACCAUCAUCUAUCAUCCAAUCACAAGACAUCACACAGAUUGCAAACUCACCCUCCAUCCUAGCCAUCCAUUCAUCUCAAAUUAUUUCUAUCCAUUAGAUUAAGAGUUUAUAUAAUUGCAAAGUGUAAAGCCUAUAUAAAGGUUAUGUAGUGGCGAUUUGUAACCCUAAGGGAGUAAGGGGGAUUUCCCCUCUCCACUUCAUGAAUGAAAAACUUGUUCUUGAAUCUGAAACCCUAAUCUCUAAUCUCUUAUUCUCCUAAUCUCUCAGUCUCUUAAUCUCUGUUCCUAAGUCUCUUAUUCUCUCAUAAACACUCUCAUCAAUCUCUCUUUCUAAAUCACCUAGAGCAAGCUCUCAUCUUUCUCCAUUGGAGUUUAUACACACACAUACAACCAGAGAAGAGAACUCUACAAA
rnacentral:lncRNA from 1 species